CCGACCUUAGCUCAGCUGGAAGAGCGCGAGACUGUAAUUGGGAAAAUUCCUGGGGAAAUUAUCUUGAGGUCGUGCGUUCGAUCCGCACAGGUCGGA